ACGAACGCUGGCGGCGUGCUUAACACAUGCAAGUCGAACGGGAUUUAGUAGACAGAAGCCUCGGCUCAAGAUUACUAAUGAGAGUGGCGAACGGGUGAGUAACGCGUGAGCAACCUGCCUAUGACAGUGGGAUAGCCUCGGGAAACCGGGAUUAAUACCGCAUAAAAUCGUAGAAACACAUGUUUUAACGGUCAAAGAUUUAUCGGGCAUAGAUGGGCUCGCGUCUGAUUAGCUAGUUGGUGAGAUAACAGCCCACCAAGGCGACGAUCAGUAGCCGGUCUGAGAGGAUGAGCGGCCACAUUGGAGCUGAGACACGGUCCAAACUCCUACGGGAGGCAGCAGUGGGGAAUAUUGCACAAUGGGGGAAACCCUGAUGCAGCGACGCCGCGUGAACGAAGAAGGUAUUCGUAUCGUAAAGUUCUGUCCUAUGGGAAGAUAAUGACAGUACCAAAGAAGAAAGCUCCGGCUAAAUACGUG
rnacentral:rRNA from 1 species